rnacentral:rRNA from 1 species
CAAGUCGAACGUGAAAGCCCGCAAGGGUGAGUAAAGUGGCGAAAGGGUGAGUAAUAUAUCGAUAACCUACCCUUGAGACGGGAACAACAGCUCGAAAGGGCUGCUAAUACCCGAUGGUUCUGGGUUGAUGCAAUCUUCCCAGCUAAACGGUGGGUCCUUCGGGACCUUCUGCUCGAGGAGGGGUCGAUAUCCUAUCAGCUAGUUGGCGGGAUAACAGCCCACCAAGGCUUUGACGGGUAGCCGGACUGAGAGGUCGACCGGUCACACUGGCACUGAGACACUGGCCAGACUCCUACGGGAGGCUGCAGUCGAGAAUCUUCCGCAAUGGGCGAAAGCCUGACGGAGCGACGCCGCGUGCAGGAUGAAGGCCCUCGGGUUGUAAACUGCUGUCAAAUGUUAGGAAUGGUUAGUCGCGAAUAACGGCUAACUUGACAAAGGCAUGAGAGGAAGUCACGGCUAACUUCGUGCCAGCAGCCGCGGUAAGACGAAGGUGGCAAGCGUUGCUCGGAAUCACUGGGCAUAAAGCGCGCGUAGGUGGCUUGAUAAGUCGAUGGUGAAAUCCCAUGGCUCAACCAUGGAACUGCCAGCGAUACUGUCAGGCUUGAGGACGGUAGGGGAGAGUGGAACUCCUGGUGUAGCGGUGAAAUGCGUAGAUAUCAGGAGGAACGCCGGUGGCGAAAGCGACUCUCUGGGCCGCUCCUGACACUGAUGCGCGAGAGCUAGGGGAGCAAACAGGAUUAGAUACCCUGGUAGUCCUAGCUGUAAACGAUGGGCACUAGGUAGAGGUGGUUUCGAAACCUUCUCUGCCGGAGCUAAUGUGUUAAGUGCCCGCCCUGGGGAGUAUGGUCGCAAGGCUAAAACUCAAAGGAAUUGACGGGGGCUCACACAAGCGGUGGA